AUUAUUAUUGACCUUAGUACCUAUGCUUAUUGUGUUUUGUUCAGAAAGUCUUUCCUGUGUCAGUGAGUGCAUGACUAUUUCCCACUUUCUCUUCUAUGUGGUCCAGUGUAUCUGGUUUUAUGUUGAGGCCUUUGAUUUACUUGGAAUAGAGAUCUCUGCAGAGUAAAUCAGUAACAUUCUUACCAAAUGGACUGAAAAAGAAAUCAGAGAAGCAACACUUUUCACAAUAGAUUAAAAUCAUAUGAAGUAUUUGGAGGCCAGUAGGACACAUUGGAAAAAGAUACCACCUUCAGCAAUUGGUGCUGAUCAAACUCAAUCUAGAAGAAUUCAAAUACAUUCAUACUUAAUACCAUAUAGAAGAGAUGAGCAGGUUUAAGGAAGAAAUUAAUGAAGAAAUUUGGGACAGCUGGGGACCGAACCCAGGGCCUUGCGCUCUACCGCUGCAGAACUCUAUAAUUUUAAUGUAAGUAUAUGGGUGCCAAAAAAUUACACAAAAUAAUCACAAAGUCUAUUUUAAUGAUUAUGUAACUUUUAAUGAAGGGAUUUGAGUAUGUACAUGGUUGUUAGAAUUUUUAUAUGACUAUUGGAUUUCUUGCUUUAACUGUAAUGGUACAUGCCCUAAUAUAACACUUGUCAUAAAAUCAUGGUAAAUUAGGGGAAUUAUUUUUUUAUAGGAAUGUAUUUCUGUUCAGAAAAUAUUUGUAGAUAAGCCACUGUUCUAGGUUAUGUCAUAGCUUGGAGCUACUAUAGAAUAGAGUCUGUUCUAUACCAGUAGGUUUGAUUGAGUAUUGUGAGAGUUUAACAACACUGAAGAGUUGUGAAUAGAGGUUAUAAAGGAUUCAGGAAUGAAAAUUGUGAAGCAUAAUUUCA
ensembl:lncRNA